UGGGGUAUUUUGCACAAUGGGCGCAAGCCUGAUGCAGCCAUGCCGCGUGUGUGAAGAAGGCCUUCGGGUUGUAAAGCACUUUUAGCGGGGAGGAAGGCGGUGAGGUUAAUAACCUCAUCGAUUGACGUUACCCGCAGAAGAAGCACCGGCUAACUCCGUGCCAGCAGCCGCGGUAAUACGGAGGGUGCAAGCGUUAAUCGGAAUUACUGGGCGUAAAGCGCACGCAGGCGGUCUGUCAAGUCGGAUGUGAAAUCCCCGGGCUCAAACUGGGAACUGCAUUGGAAACUGGGAGGCUAGAGUCUUGUAGAGGGGGGUAGAAUUCCAGGUGUGGAGGUGAAAUGCGUAGAGAUCUGGAGGAAUACCGGUGGCGAAGGCGGCCCCCUGGACAAAGACUGACGCUCAGGUGCGAAAGCGUGGGGGGCAAACAGG
rnacentral:rRNA from 1 species